AAGCCUAAAGUCUAUGGGAUAAAAGCUUACAAAUACGACAAUUACAGGUGUAAGAGUGGAAGGAGAUGCAGACGACCACCGUGAGAUGAAGAGAGAUGGUGGAGAAGACAGGCCUGCAGGCGAAGAACCCCCUUAAGAAUGAAGAAAGUUAUGUUUAUUUUCCAAACAAGAUACAAGCCUUAAUUAACGCAAAGAGGUCUGAGAGAAACCCUGCUUUAAAGUAAUAACAAAAAGCUGGAAGAUUCCAGAUGUAGAUGUCAAAUAAACUUAGAUUUCCAAAAACUUAGGGCAGUUAGACUUGUAGGGGAACAGGGAGGGGGGAACGUUUUCAGAAUGAAGGGGCAGGAGAGACCUGGGCGUUGUUGGAAGCCCAGAGCAGCCAGCUAAUGGGGAAGGCAAGAUUGAACAGUCAGUAGGGGGCAGUGAUUACUGCUCUGACAACUCUUUACUGAGCACCUACUACGUGCUAGGAGCGCCUGGGUGGUGCAAACGGUUAACGUACUCAGCUGCUAACCAAAAGGUUGACAGUUUGAGUCCAGCCAGAGGCGCCUUGGAAGAAGGGUCUGGUAGUGAUCUCCUGAACAAGCACCCACUGGAGACCCUGGGGAGCACAGUUGUGCUCUAACACACAUGUGGGCGCCAGGAGCUGAGUCAACUUGAAGGUGAUGGGCUGCACUGUGUGCCAGGCACUGGGCUCCGAGUCAGGACACGGGUGAUUCUACAGUGACAGGUGUGGCACAAGUCCCGUGAACAGGGCUCUUCACAGGUUGGGAGGGAGAGAAGGGUCGUGCGUGUAGGGGGGUCACUUGGAAAGGCUUACCUGAGGGUGUGCGUUUUGAGCCAGGAUCUGAGAAGCCAACAGGGCUGAAUCCCGGGAAGUGGGAGGGAUUUACUGAGGCAGUCCAGGUAGGAGGAGCGGAUGAAGAAAUUGGUGACCAUAUGCAGCCCAAAGCGAGGGGGAGCGAGGACGCUCCAGGUCCAUUUCAGGGUGAAGCUUCCGGGGAUGCACAGUGGUCUGUGUGGUCAGAGGGCGAGGCGGCGCUGCAGGCGGAGGGGGCUGUAGGGGCAUCUAGACGGUGCUGGAGCCACCCUGGGAGACAGCAGGCUCUUCCCUCUCCUGGUCCCCCUGAGGAAAACAGCAGAAAGCCUUGUUUGAGAUUCUGGCACAGUCUAGAACCAGGUUCCACAGCAGAGCCUGGAACCAGGUCUCCUGGCUAUUUGCCCUACACCAUGCUGCCUCCUGGAUAAAACUUCAGUCUUAGGACAUUUUUAGCCACACUUGGGGACUGGAGAGGCACCGGGGAGUCUGCCCAGAGCUGGGGUUGGCAAGGAGGAAACGAGGAAAGACGUUAGAACAGAGAAUCCAGGCCUAGGCGGCAGCUCCUGGAGAAGCAGAGCCCAGGCUGGGGGGAGCACUGAGGUCCUGCAGAGAGGGCCAUUUCCUGGCUGCUAAGGUGGGUGGGGAGCCCUGGUGGCAAAGUGGUUAAAAGCUCGGCUGCUAACCAAAAGGUCGCAGUUUGAACCCACCAGCCACUCCGCAGGAGAAAGAUGAGGCCGUCUGCUUCUGUAAAGAUUACAGCCUUGGAAACCCUAUGGGGCAGUUCUACUCUGUCCUAUACUGUUGCUAUGAGUCGGAAUUGCCUUGACAAGGGGUUUGGCCCAGGUGGCACAGGCAGUUGUCAGUCAGCUACUAACCUAAAGGUUGUCAGUUGGAAUCUACCUGGUGGCUCCAUAAGAGAAAGGCCUGACGAGUUGUUUCUGCAGAGACCAAAGUGAGGCUACCCUAUCCUGUCCUGUUCUAGUCUGUAACACAUGGGGUCCCCAAGAAUCGGCAUUGACUCAGCAGUGGGUGGAGAAGCCACGUGAUGGGGAGAUGAUGCCGGACAAGAGGAGGGAGGCAGGGUUCAAGUCCUGGCCUGUUGGGGUUCUGGGGGUGGAUGGUUACUCCCUAGCUGGCCUUUGUCCCAGUGAUAGGUGGGUGGACAGCAGGAUACUUACCUACAAGCCUGAGCAGUCGGGAGGCCACGGGGACAGAGAGCUUUAGGGCCAGGAGCCAGGACGCCUGGUUCCGGUUCUGGCUCUGGCCUGUGAACUUACCCAAGCCGCUUCCACACGCUGGCCCCAUCAAUAAAGCCAAGUAGCCAGAUCAGAUGGCGGCAUUGAUUUGCAGUGAAAGGGACAAGGCUGACACCCAGUGGUGAGUUGGAAGCAUCACAGGCAAGACUUGGCUGGUGGGUCUCAUGGAACCCAGGGUGACUGGUCUCACUCACCCUCCAGCUUCCACUCACUGUCUUCACCCCUACUUCCCUCAGGAGAAGGUCAAGUUCUCCCAGAAGGAUCUGGGAGGGCCUACCAAUGUCUCCCCAGGAAAGCAACACACAGAGGUAGGCAGGGUGAGAGAAGUCACAGUUACUGAGUCCCCUACCAUGUGAUAGAAUCUGUGGGUGUUGUGGGGUGGGGGGGAAGGUGUCGCAUUUGAUUCGCACAACAACCAGAUGAAAUCCAUUUUACUGUCCCUGCCAUUCCAGAGAUGGGGAAAUGGGCUCAGCCCUGCAUUAUGGUCCCCACUUUACAGAUGAGGAAGGUGAGGCUGGGGGGAAAGGGCCUUGCCCAGAGCGACAGGUCGCUUGGUGCGGGUGUCAGAAAUAGAACCUAGCUUCUCUCGGCGGUGGCACCGUCCCCUGAUGACACACCCAGAGCCCUGUGGGCGGCAAGAUGGAGCCCGCCUGCAGCUUCCCACACCCCAGGCGUGAAGUUGCUUUAGCUUUUCUUUAAAAUAAAAAUACACCUGUCACAGAUUAAACUAUGUCUCCCAAAAAUAUGUGUCAACUUGGCUAGGCCAUGAUUCCCAGUAUUGUGUGGUUUUCCUCCAUUUUGUGAUCUGAUCUAUUUCUCCUGUAUGUGGUUGAAUCCUAACCUCUACGUUAACGAGGCAGGACUCAAUCUACAGGAUUAGGAUGGUAUCUUAGGUCAAUCUUCUUUGAGAUAUAAAAGAGAGGAUUGAACAGAGAGGAGAGGGACCUCCUAGCACCAAGAAAGAAGAGCCAGGAGCAGAGCGAAUCCUUUAGGCCCAGGGUUCCUUGUCUGAGAAGCUCCUUCACCAGGGGUAGAUCGAUGACAAGGACCUUCCCCCAGAGCUGACACAGAGAGAAAGCCUUCCCCUGGAGCUGCUGCCUGAGCUCAGACUUCUCGCCUACUAGACUGUGAGAGAAUAAAUUUCUGUUUGUUAAAGCCAUCCACUUGUGGUAUUUCUGUUACAGCAGCAUUAGGUGACUAAGACAAUGCCCAGAGCAGCGUGCUAAAUUGGAACAAGAAAAAAAUGUCAUCAUAUUCCAACGUGAGUUAAGAGGCAGACCCCCCAUGUGGAAAUUUCAAAGUGAGCGGCCAGGCACUGUUAGCUGGUCCACCUGCCAAGAGCAUGAAGGGCCCCAGCUGUUGGUGAUUACAGAGAAUCCGUGAGGAGGACUGUUUUACUACAGGGUUUCUCAGCCUUAGAGUCCCUGGGUGGUGCAAACGGUAACACGCUCAGCUGCUAACUGAAAGGUUGCAGGUUUGAGUCCACCCAAAGGCGCCUUGGAAGGAAGGCGUGGUGACCUGCUUCUGAAAAAUCAGCCGCUGAAAACCCUGUGGAGCACAGUUCUGCUCUGACACACAUGGGGUCACCGUGAGGUGGAGCCAACCUGACAGAACCGGUCACUGCUUUUCUCAACCUUAGCGCUACGGACAUUCUGGGUUCUUUGUUAUAAGGAGCCUUGGUGGCACAGCGGUUAAGAGCUUGGCUGCUAACUGAAAGGUUGGUUGUUUGAACCUACCAACAGCUCUGUAGGAGAAAGACGUGGCAGUCUGCUUCUGUAAAGAUUUACAGCCUUGGAAACCCUACGGGGCAGUUCUACUCUGUCCUGUAGGGCCGCUAUGACUUGGAAUUGGCUUGACGGCAAUGGGGAUUUAUUCUUUGUUGUGGGGCUGUCCUUUGUAUUGUAGAAUGUUUAGCAGGAUCUCUGGCCUCCACCCACUAGAUACCUGUAGGAUACUCCCAGUCGUGACAACCAAAAAUGUUUCUCCAAACCAAACCAAACUCGUUUGCCAAAUGUCCUCUAGAGGGCAACAUUGCUGCAGGGUUGAGAACCACUGAGUUAGUGAGAGCUGUGUGGUAAGUCCCAUCUUCCAGGGGAGGGCAGGGGUUGCUCUCUCCUAACCAAAGUCUCCUAAGAAGCCCUUUAGCAGAUCCGUGGGAGAGCUUGUUCUUCAUCCUUACCAGUUGAUGGACACAGUGCCUAAAAACAUGUGUCAACUUAGCUAGGCCCUGAUUCCCAGUAUUGUAUGACUGACCUCCAUUUCGUGAUCUGGUAUAUUUACUGUGUGUUGUAAAUCCUACCUCUAUGAUGUUAAUGAGGCAGAAUUAGAGGCAGUUAUAUCAAAGACCACAGCCUUCAGUAGGGAUUACACCUCAAAAUAAAAGAAAACAAAAAUCCUUACAACUGGACCAAUAAGCAACAUCAUGAUAAACGGAGAAAAGAUUGAAGUUGUCAAGGAUUUCAUUUUACUUGGAUCCACAAUCAACAGCCGUGGAAGCAGCAGUCAAGAAAUCAAAAGACUCAUUGCACUGGGCAAAUCUGCUGCAAAGGACCUCUUCAAAGUAUCGAAGAGCAAAGAUGUCACCCUGAAGACUAAGGUGCUCCUGACCCAAGCCGUGGUAUUUUCAAUCGCAUCAUACGCAUGUGAAAGCUGGACAAUGAAUAAGGAAGACCGAAGAAGAGUUGAUGCCUUUGAAUUGUGGUGUUGGCGAAAAAUAUUGAAUAUACCGUGGACUGCCAAAGGAACGAACAAAUCUGUCUUGGAAGAAGUACAACCAGAAUGCUCCACAGAUGUUGAAAGGCGACAAGGUCCUUCCCCUACAGCCAACAGAGAGAGGAAGGCUUCCCCUGGAUCUGGCACCCAGAAUUUGGACUUCUAGCCAACUAGAUAACUAAGAUAGUGCCUGUAAUGGAUUGAGUAGUGUCACCCAAAAAUAUGUGUCAACUUGGUUAGGCUUUGAUUCCCAGUAUUGUGUGGUUGUCAUCCAUUCUGUGAUUUUCCUAUGUGUAUAGUAAUCUCUGCCUAUACUUAAAGAGGAUUAGGGUGGGAUGUAACACCCUUGCUCAGUUCACAUCCCUGACCCAAUGUAAAGGGAGUUUUCCUGGGGUGUGGCCUGCACCACCUUUUAUCUUACAAGAGAUAAAAGGAAAGGGAAGCAAGCAGAGAGUUGGGGACCUCAUACCACCAAGAAAGAAGCACAGGGGACAGAACCCGUCCUUUGGACCUGGGGUUCCUGUGUGGAAAAGCUCUUAGUCCAGGGGAAGAUUGAUGACAAGGACCUUCCUCCAGAGCCGACAGAGAGAGAAAGCUGCCUCUUGGAGCUGAUGCCCUGAAUUUGGACUUCUAGCCAACUAAGCUGUGAGAAUAAAAUUCUGUUUGUUGAAGGCAUCCACUUUCGGUAUUUCUGUUACAGCAGCACUAGAUGACUAAAAUUUGGUACCAGAGAGAGAGUUGGGUAUCUGACAGAUACCUAAAAUGGGGAAGCAAUUUAGAAACUGUGACUGGAUAGAGUACUAGCAGGGGCAGAACCAGGAGACCAGCCCCAGACAGCACUGAGCUGACCCAUGGAGCAAGAAAGCUGAGUGCCUUCUGGCUGAAGUCUACUGGCGGAGUGAGGUGCUCCAGGCACUUAUUGGUGGAGCUACAGAGCUUUGGAACACUUGCCCCAGCGGGGCAGAUGAGGGCAUGAGGCCUGAGGGCCAAGAGGCCAAGGAACCAAGAAGGAGAAGCUAAAGAGACAAAACACAGGAAGAUGAGCUGCCUCAGUCUCAAAAGCUCUUAAUCAACGGCCAGGAGCUGCCUGCAGAACUGUGUGGAGAACGACUCUGAGGCUGCAUCUGGGCUCUGCAGAGGAGUGCGGUGAUCAAUUAGCAAUGUCUGCCAGGGGCACAGGAUGGGAGAGUAAGGCACCCUCCUUCUAAGCCUUUUCCUUUGCAUCUACUGUACCCGAAAAAACCAAAACCAGUGCCUGAAGUCUAUUCCAAGACAGAGAAAAACUGUCCCACGGGGUUUCCAAGGAGCACCUGGUGGAUUCGAGCUGCCGACCUUUUGGUUAGUAGCCAAGCUCGUAACCACUGUGCCACCAGGGCUCCUUAUCUACUACAGGGGAUGGCAAGACUCCCUGACUAGGUGGUCGUGGGCAGCUCUGGCCAAUGAGACCAAAUGGAGCUCUGCUGGCACUAUCCCCCUUCCUCCUCCUAGCUGAGUGAGCAGCUGUGAUGGCUGGGGCUUCAAGAGCCACUCUGCGAUCCUGAAGAAGAGCCCAAGAGAGCCACAAAGGUGCUGGCACUGAUACCGUGAGCCACUGAACCCACCGCCAGCCACGGCUACCUCGACUAUUUAAUCUGCGGUUUGAUGGAUAGCCUGUUGUUGCCAGGGGACGUUAGGUCGAUUUCGACUCACGGCAAUCCUACGCGACAGAGCAGAACUUCCCCACGAGGUUUUCUUGGCUUUAAUCUUUACGGAAGCAAAUUGCCAGGUCUUUCUCCUGUGGAGCCGCUGAAUGGGUUUGAACUGCCAACCUUUCAGUUAACAGCCAAGUGCUGUGCUGUUUGCCCCACCAGGACUGACUGGGUAUCACAUUACUUGUAGCCAAAAGCAGUCCUACCGACCUCCCACCACAUCCUAAGCACCACAGGAGCCUGGCCUACAUCAAUCAAGAAAGGCUUCAAGGAGACAACUCAUCAGACAUGGAAGGGACUGGACAGCGGGUAGGAGAGAGAUGCUGAUGAAGAGUGAACUAUUUGUAUCAGGUGGACACUUGAGACUGUGUUGGCAUCUCCUGUCUGGAGGGGGGAUGGGAGGGUAGAGAGGGUUAGAAACUGGCAAAACCGUCACGAAAGGAGAGACUGGAAGGGCUGACUCAUUAGGGGGAGAGCAAGUGGGAGUAUGGAGUAAGGUGUAUAUAAACUUAUAUGUGACAGACUGACUUGAUUUGUAAACGUUCACUUGAAGCUCAAUAAAAAUUAAAAAGAAAAAAAAAAAAAAGAAA